UCAGCAGAAAACAUUCAAGAUAGGUUUGGUGCACACAGCGAUAAAAAAGUACCCCAUGCCCACAGUUAAAUAUACUGCUGGAUCUUUAAUCUUGUGGGCCUAUUUU